GAGGUAGAGAAUAAAAUUCCAACACAAUGUCUCUCUUGAGAGGUGCUAAUCCAGCUAAAGACAGCCAGAUAGCAGAAUCUCACCAGUGGUAUUCGCUGCCAGAAUUAUAUGCAUUGAUUGAGAAUUUUAAUAAGGACAGUAAGAAAUCAAAUGUCCUAAAAACUCAUAGCAUUUCAUUUAAAGAAGCACAGAAACUACUUACUAAAAGCCUGAAUGCCAUGUUAUUCAUCAGCAGAACUGGUGUGAGAAGAGAAGACCCCCAGCCAGUCUUCAUGUGUACCACAGCUAAAAAGGAGCAGGAGAAGCCUCCAUGCAUGGCUGAGCUCCUGCACUGCAGCUUGCUGAAGGGCUUGCACUCCCCAGCACCUUGGUUUCCCAGGUCCCAAAAGAGACUGACUGAGGAUGGUAUCCCACUGCCCAUGCACCCUUUUCCUUACAAUGUUAUACAGGAUGGCUUAGAUGCUUUGUCAUGGGCUACCCCCGAGAAGACUCAGACCCCUCAGGUAUUAGACAGAUCUCACCUGCUGAAGCAAGUCUUUGAAGAUAAAAUUUCCAGAUACUUCUUAGUGGACCCAGAAAAACAAUUCAUGGAUCUAAGGGACCUAGAAUGGAGAUAUUUUAAGGGGCUGGCAAAGUGGAAGCACACAACUGUGGUUUCAUUCGUGGACAUAAAAUACAACAGUGAGAAGAGAUUUGUAAAGCGCCGGGACAUGUCUGAUGUUAUUUCUGUCCCUCUAAUACUGGAAUGGUGAAGACCAGUUAGCCAUGCACUGAGCCUGCCCUUGCCCUGGCCUGCAUCCAGUGGACUGUUGAAGACUGUGCAGUUGUGUGAGUGUCUCUGCAACAUACCUCCCCUCCAUCCUCCUGGGCCUCCCGAUUGUGUCAGUUCCUGGAUCCACUCUGCAGAGGCACAGGUGGUCAUAAAGGUCAUUUUACUGAGCUCCAGAAGAUAGAAAGGGAGUGGACAACUGCAGUAAAGGCUCAUCAGACCUCUAUAGUUGGUAAGUUGAAGGGAUCACCACCUUCUAUCAGAACUUGGACUAUCUUCAGGGGAAGCGCAGCUGGAACAUGCCUUAGAACCUUGCAGAGUUAAACCCUGCAGGAGGUCAGGAAGCUCAACUUGGGCCUUGCAGCCUGAAUUCAACUAGAAUCUCAGGGGUCUGCCAUCAGCUAGCUGAGACUAAAUGACUUAGUUCUGCACAUUGCUGUGCACAGUGUCUAUUAUGACAGCAGAGAUAUAGUCUUAAGGAGGCCUUUCAAAUAGUUUUUCUUCUUUCUUUUCCUCAUUCCAUUCUGAAACAUCUUUCUUUUUUCCCCCAUCUUCUUUUUCCCAGUCUCUUGCUCUCCCAUAUUAUUCUUCAUCUCCUUUUCUGUUCCCGUUCCUGCCCUAAUUCAGAUUUCUUCUUUUUUAUUUUUCUUUCUUUCUUUCUUUUCUUUUUAUCUUUCAUUUUUCUUCACUUGAGGGUCACUAGUUUCAAAGGAAAGUGAGUACCUAUUACCAUUAAGUUUGUUUAUACUUGUACUUAUUCUUGCACUCUGUUUUUCCCUCUUAUCUUUAACAGUUUACUAAAGUUUGUGUGGUCAUCCUGUUCCUCUGGCUUCACUUGAAACCUUCUGUAAUUCUUCUACCUAUCUACUUCUCUCUUCCUAACUGUCUAAGUCCCCAUCCUAAAGGGUAAAGUUGUUAUAUUGAAGAGUUUAUUCACAUAAACAUGUUUUGGGCUGCUUCUUGAUUUUGAUUUAAUUCACAUGGAUUAAAGGUGAUAUCUUAAUAACUUUCACAAAUGGUCAGUUUUUAAGCAAUGCUUGAUGCUAUUGUGUUGCUGAUUGUAUCAAUUGGGCUAAAGGACUGUGAUUGAUUUAAUGAGUUCUCCUUUCUGAUAUUAUGAAAAUGAGAGUGUCUAUGAGUCAUUAGAGACUCAAAAGCUAAAGAGCAGCUAUAUCAGGAAGAGCAAAGUAAUAAUCCAGGAAUUGAACCAAGGACAUCCCAACAAAAAUAAAAAUGAGAAAACACUUAAGCAAGACAUAAGACAGAAUUUCAGUUCUCCAACAGCAAACUCUAGGGGAAAUGAGGUGGAAAAGUCUGACAAUCAACCACCAGGACACCCUGAACUCAUAGCACAGGAAGUAACAAAACAGAUCAAUCAGGCUCUAGAAAAAUUCAAAGCAGAAAUAAUUUCCUAGAUAACUAUUGAGAUGGUGAGCACAAUGAAAGGCAUGAUUAGAGACUCUAGAACAGAAACUGACAAAAAAAAAAAUAGAUGAUCUGAGGGCCACAAUAGAGGUUAUGAAAGCCCAGCAUAAGAAAGAAAUGGAAACCAUGAAUGCCCAACAUAAAAAAGAAAUGGAAUCCAUGAAACAGAUUCAAACAGAUAUACAGGAGAUUAAAAUCUCUAUUGAAAGUUUCAAAGCAGUUUAAAUGAAUGUGAAGAUAGAAUUUCAGAUAUAGAACAUAGGAUUGCAGUCAGUGACCCUGAAAAGAGAGGUCUCUUAAAAACAGUAGGGGAUCAUGAGAAAUCAAUCCAACAACCCCUAGAUGAUGCAAAGAAGAAUAACAUAAGACUGAUAGGAAUCCAUGAAGUAGCAGGAGAAAAUACAAAUGACUUAAAAAAACUGUUCAUAGAGUUAAUGACAGAAAACUCCCCAAACAAACCAAAGGAAUUUGACAUACAGAUAAGUGAGGCAUAUGGGACUCCAACUAGCCAUGAUCAAAAAAAAAAAAAAUUAUACCUAGACAUAUAGUAGUCAAGAUCCCAGAAACCCAAUGAAAGAACAAAAUACUACAAGCAGUCAGAGAAAAGAAACAAAUCACAUGCAAAGGAAAGCCCAUCAGAAUCACAGAAGACUUUUCAACACAAAACCUCAGGUCAAGUAGAGCCUGGAGUGAGCUAUUUCAAAUCCUAAAAGAAAACGACCUCCAACUAAGGCUGAUGUAUCCUGCAAAACUCUCUUUCUAAAUGGAUGGGGACAUAAGAUACUUCCAUGACAAAGAAAACCUGAGAAACUUCAUGGAUUCCAAACCAACCCUCCAAACAAUAUCCUAGAAAAAGACAAUGAAGGUUGCAACUCCAUGAGUUGCAAAUCAAUUAGGCAAGGCAAGAAACUAAAGGGAGAGGGGGAAAAUUAAAAACAUCCAACAACAGGACAAUAACAUGACAAUGAUGUCAGUACAUAUCAUUUAUAACCAUUAAUGGCAUUGGCCUCAAUUCACCAAUCAAGAGAAAUAGACUGGCACAAUGGAAUAAGAAGCAAAAUCCAACAAUAUGUUGUAUACAGGAAACACACCUAGUGCAAAAAGUAAGCCAUAGACUGAAAUUGAAAGGAUGGAAAACAGUUCUCCAUGCAACAGGAGCCCCCCCCCCAAAAAAAAACAGGGGUAGCUGUCUUAUUUGCAGACAAAGUAAAUUUCAAACCAAAACCAAUUAAGAGACAAAGAAGGCCACUACAUCCUUGUAAAGGGAACAAUUCAAGAGGAAGAGAUGACAAGUAUAAAUAUAUAUGCACCAAAUAUUAAUGCCCCAGCUAUAUAAAACAAAUAUUAAGUAACAUGAAAAACCAAAUAAGCACUAAUACAAUCGUAGUGGGGGACCUAAAUACCCCACAAUCACAAAUAGACAGAUCAUUUAGACAAAAACUCAAGAACGAAAUUCUAGAACUUAACCAAGCUUUUGAACAUAUGGACUUAAUAGACGUAUAUAGAGUAUUUUGCCCCACAAAAUCAGAAUAUACAUUCUUUUCAGCUGCACAUGGGUCAUUCUUCAAAAUAGACCACGUACUAGCUCAUGGAACAGGUUUAAAUAAAUUCAAAGGAAUCAAAGUUACCCCAUGUAUAUUAUCAGAUAAUAGUGCAAUUCAGCUGGAGAUCAAUGGCAAACAAAACUGAAAGAACUUCACAGACACAUGGAAAUUGAACAACACUCUCCUGAACAAUCAAUGGGUCACAGAGGAAAUUAAAGAAGAAAUUGGACAGUUUUUACAAACAAAUGAUAAUGCCAAUACAACAUAUAGGAAUCUAUGGGACACAAUGAAAGCACUUCUACAUGGAAAAUACAUAGCAGUGAAUGCCCACAAUAGGAAAACCAAGUGAACUCUGACAAACAACCUAAUGAUGAAUCUUAGGCUGGUAGAAAAAGAAGAGCAAGAAAAACCCAAAGCUCGUACAAGGGAGGAAAUUAUAAAGAUUAGAGCAGAAAUCAAUGCAACAGGAACUAAGAAAAUGAUACAAAAAUAAAUGAAUUGAAGAGUUGGUUUUUUGAAAGAAUACAUAAAGUUGAUAAACUUUUAGCCAACCUUGUCAAAAAAAGGAAAAAAAAAAGGCUCAGAUACAUACAUGCAAUUAGGAACAAAAAAGGUGAAGUCACAACAGAUCUAACAGAAAUCCAGAAGAUCAUCAAUAUCUACUUUGAGAACCUGUACACUAAUAAAAUGGAAAACCCAGAAGAAAUGGACAGAUUUCUAGAUACUUAUCAAUUACCAAAGUUGAAUGAAGAAGAUUUAAAAACAAUUGUAAACACCCCAGUUACAAUCAGUGAAAUUGAAAAUGUAAUUACAAGUUAGCCAAUGAAGAAAAGCCCAGCUCCUGAUGGAUUCACUGCUAAUUUUUACAAGACAUUUAGAGAAGAACUACUGCCACUAUGUUUUUUGAAAUUAAAGAUUGCAAACAUACAUGAUAACAAGAAAUGAAGAUACUAAAUACAGAUUUCAAAUAUACAUAUAAAUGACAGCAAAUAAAGGAU
rnacentral:lncRNA from 1 species